rnacentral:rRNA from 1 species
GAUGAACGCUGGCGGCGUGCCUAAUACAUGCAAGUCGAGCGAACAGACGAGGAGCUUGCUCCUCUGACGUUAGCGGCGGACGGGUGAGUAACACGUGGAUAACCUACCUAUAAGACUGGGAUAACUUCGGGAAACCGGAGCUAAUACCGGAUAAUAUAUUGAACCGCAUGGUUCAAUAGUGAAAGACGGUUUUGCUGUCACUUAUAGAUGGAUCCGCGCCGCAUUAACUAGUUGGUAAGGUAACGGCUUACCAAGGCAACGAUGCGUAGCCGACCUGAGAGGGUGAUCGGCCACACUGGAACUGAGACACGGUCAAGACUCCUAAGGGAGGCAGCAGUAGGGAAUCUUCCGCAAUGGGCGAAAGCCUGACGGAGCAACGCCGCGUGAGUGAUGAAGGUCUUCGGAUCGUAAAACUCUGUUAUUAGGGAAGAACAAAUGUGUAAGUAACUAUGCACGUCUUGACGGUACCUAAUCAGAAAGCCACGGCUAACUACGUG